UUUUUUUUUUUUUUUAUCUAAAAUCUGAUUUAUUGCACUAUUGCUGUUAUAAUGAAUACCAUGUCUACAGCAUUUGACAGGGCACCCCUGUAGGAUUAGUUUUACUGAACAAACAGGGAGAUUGCUCAGUACAUUAAUAAUAAUAAAUUGUUAGAUUUACAUUCUAUGUAUCAAUACAACAGAUUACUUCAGAAAUUAAUUUCCGGAAAAAUUACAAUCGUGGACCGCUUUGACUCUGUAUAUGUUAGUUGACCUGGUUAUGACCUGUUGAUCAACGAUCAUACGAUGGAGGCAAGCUAACUGGCGAAGCUGCUUGUACUUAUUAUUAAUUAUCUUGUUUUUGCCUGCAGUAUUUUAUGGUUAUGUCCCUUACUUCAGCUUUAAAAACAUCCCACUUAACUUGAGGAUCUAAAGCCUUUAUAUUUGGAUUGUUCAGUAAGGAUUGUUCGAGCACUCAACGACAUUAUAACUAUGAAUAUUCACUUAAAGCUGUGUGUGUCAUGUGUUUUAAAACAAUACUGAUCUGUACCUGUAGUGAAUAUACUACGUCAAAAGGAUUAACAUAGCUAGUUAAGGAGUGUUUGUGUCUGGAUAAUAUGGUGCAAAGAUAUAUAAAUGUAUUUAGUUUCGUACUUCCCGUGUGUGAUGCGGUAUAUGGUGGUGUACUAGUUGUGUACCAUAUGUGCAAUUUCGUAGGAAUAUUUAGUGGUUGAUAUACUUUCCAUGUAUCCUUGUUUAAAUUGCAGAAAAAAGAAGAUUCGUUUAUACAAUCAAUGCAUAAAUACGCUUUGAUGAUGAGCUGAAUGAAACUUACGCAGCAUAUUGAAGUGAACAGUAGAACUAAUGAUCGUUUGUUUACUAGUAAUUAAAAAAUUUCUCUUUU